AAAUCCGUUUAACUACUCUACAAAAGGCAGUGGUACUGUGUCACAGUUUGAGUUUUUGAUUUACUUUUGAUCGCGGGGGACAAAGUUAAUGUAACAUCCUGGAUACACGGGGACAGACCGGGACUAGCAUGGGAAUCUCCGGACCUGACCGGAAUAAAUAGCAGGAAUUCUGACUCCAUGUCUUUGCGGAUCGUUCCUCUGUGUUGUUGGUGAGAGAGCGGAUCUGUACUGAUGCCAGGAUGUCGGACGCUCACAAGCAAUGGAGUAAGGUCAAAUUGGUCAGGAAGGUUCUGGAGAAGCCGACCAAGAGCCAAUCAAAGAGCCACAGGAGCAAGAGUGAAGCCAAACAAUGAAUGAACGUACAAAUGUAUUAUUUGAAGAAUAAUCGAAAUAUAAAGCGAAAACGUGGUGAAGGAGACUUGGGACAUCGAUGGAAGGAGGACUAAUUGAGUUGCCGAAUAUGCUUGCAUUGAUCAUUAAAUUUAAAGAAAUUAAGCAAACGUUUGUACUAAUCACCUUAACACUCCCUGACUUUAAAGGUUUUGAUUGUACAUUCUUAAAUAAAGUACCUAAAAAUGACAAAAGUAUCAAAAACAUGUAAAUGUUUACGAUAGCAAUACUAUUUAAUGGUAAUACUAUUUAAAUUUUAAGAACAAUUGGAAAAAUGGAUUAUGAAAUAUUAUUUAUAAUCUUAGGUAUACAUAUCAAUAAAAGUGCUCUUGACUUAUACGCAACACCUUUAAAAUACAGGCCUAAAAUAUAGUUUUCUGUAAACGUUACGUUUGGUGUUCUCAGGCGAUGAAAUCUUUUGCGAAGCAAGAAUAAUAGUAUUGGUUACACGGAAGUUCGAGUAUUUUAAUUUACUAACAACAAUAUAGUAUCAAAAUAUAUUAAUAAAUAAAAAAUGAGCAAUAAGCCUGCAAAUAAAAACAUUUCAAUUAAGAUCGGUUCAUAUUGAAAAUUCGUAGUAUUUCUUCGAUUUCGCUAUAAAGGUAGCUCACUACAUUAAGGCUUAUACUUUUUAUGAAGGUCGAAAGAUGGUAAUUCAAAUGUUUGUGAGAUGGUUUGUAUUGAUCGAUUUGAGUCAAUAUCAUUAGAGCUCAAUGGUUAAAGUAUCGGGCUCGUAUACCGCAGAUCUCGAAUUCAAAUCCGCCAGAAGCUUUUGUUCAUAUUGACCGAAGUAAAUUUUCGAAUAUCAUAUUUAUUCAAAAAUUGCUUAUUUUUCGCCUAUUUGACUUUUAUAGUUUUUAUUAUCGUGCUAUCUGUCAUAGUCAUGCCGUUUUCUGCUCAAUUUUAGGAAUAAAGUUUUUGGAAUUAAAGAUUUUUAUUUGUCUCGUCACCAAAGUGUCAUGUAAGCAUUAAAAAAUGACGUUUUCAUAUAGUUCAUCUGACUCUUCUUGACAUGCUUUAUGAAAUAAACCAACUUUAAAAUUUAAUAAAAAUCGUUAAUAAAGAAUAUAGCUCU
rnacentral:misc_RNA from 1 species